CGGAUUGAAGGCUGAAAUUCGCCUUCAUGAAGCUGGAAUUGCUAGUAAUGGCAGGUCAGCAUACUGCCGUGAAUACGUUCCCGGGCCUUGUACACACCGCCCGUCAAGCCAUGAAAGCCGGGGGGUACCUGAAGUGCGUAACCGCGAGGAGCGCCCUAGGGUAAAACUGGUGAUUGGGGCUAAGUCGUAACAAGGUAAC
rnacentral:rRNA from 1 species